ACUACAGUCUUCGCGCAGUCAGGGCUUUGCUUGGCCCUGGUGUCACUGACAUCCCUUGGGGUGGUGUUGGCCAUGUGUGUUUGUUGCCGAAGAAAAUCUAAAAUAAUACACAGAGAAAAUCAAAUUUAUGACCCUCAACUGUUCCAAAGUCAAAGUGAGAGAUUUACAGUAGCAAGGUCUCUAAUGG